AGCAAUGCGCGUGAACGAGAAGGUUCUCGGAUCGAAAGUUCUGUUGUAAGGGAGAACACGUACGGGAGUAACCUGCCCGUACCUUGACGGACCUUAUUAGAAAGCCACGGCUAACUACGUGCCAGCAGCCGCGGUAAUACGUAGGUGGCAAGCGUUGUCCGGAAUUAUUGGGCGUAAAGCGCGCGCAGGCGGUCUUUUAAGUCUGAUGUGAAAGCCCACGGCUCAACCGUGGAAGGUCAUUGGAAACUGGGAGACUUGAGUACAGAAGAGGAAAGCGGAAUUCCACGUGUAGCGGUGAAAUGCGUAGAGAUGUGGAGGAACACCAGUGGCGAAGGCGGCUUUCUGGUCUGUAACUGACGCUGAGGCGCGAAAGCGUGGGGAGCAAACAGGAUUAGAUACCCUGGUAGUCCACGCCGUAAACGAUGAGUGCUAAGUGUUAGGGGGUUUCCGCCCCUUAGUGCUGCAGCUAACGCAUUGAGCACUCCGCCUGGGGAGUACGGCCGCAAGGCUG
rnacentral:rRNA from 1 species